CAAGGGACUUCUGCUUUUCGAGCGGCCGAUACCAGAUUAACUAGUUGGGUGGGGGUAAAGGGCCACCAAGGGCUUCCAUCUGUAGCGGGGUCUGAAAGGAUGAUCCCGCCACACUGGGGACUGAAACACGGCCCAGAACUCCUACGGGAGGCAGCAGUGGGGGAAUUUUUGGACAAUGGGGCGCAAGCCCUGAUCCAGCCAUGCCGCGUGAGUGAAGAAGGCCUUCGGGUUGUAAAGCUCUUUCAGCCGGAAAGAAAUCGUGCAGAUUAAUACUUUGCAUGGAUGACGGUACCGGCAGAAGAAGCACCGGCUAACUACGUGCCAGCAGCCGCGGUAAUACGUAGGGUGCGAGCGUUAAUCGGAAUUACUGGGCGUAAAGGGUGCGCAGGCGGUUUUGUAAGCCAGAUGUGAAAUCCCCCGGGCUUAACCUGGGAACUGCAUUUGGGACUGCAAGGCUAGAGUACGGCAGAGGGGGGGUAGAAUUCCACGUGUAGCAGUGAAAUGCGUAGAGAUGUGGAGGAAUACCGAUGGCGAAAGGCAGCCCCCUGGGUCGAUACUGACGCUCACGCACGAAGCGUGGGGAGCAACAGGAUUAGAUACCCUGGUAGUCACGCCCUAACGAUGUCACUAGUGGUUGGGGGAAGGAGACUUCUUUAGUACCGCAGCUA
rnacentral:rRNA from 1 species